GGGUGAGUAAUGUCUGGGAAACUGCCUGAUGGAGGGGGAUAACUACUGGAAACGGUGGCUAAUACCGCAUAACGUCGCAAGACCAAAGAGGGGGACCUUCGGGCCUCUUGCCAUCAGAUGUGCCCAGAUGGGAUUAGCUUGUUGGUGAGGUAAUGGCUCACCAAGGCGACGAUCCCUAGCUGGUCUGAGAGGAUGACCAGCCACACUGGAACUGAGACACGGUCCAGACUCCUACGGGAGGCAGCAGUGGGGAAUAUUGCACAAUGGGCGCAAGCCUGAUGCAGCCAUGCCGCGUGUAUGAAGAAGGCCUUCGGGUUGUAAAGUACUUUCAGCGGGGAGGAAGGUGUUGCGGUUAAUAACCGCAGCAAUUGACGUUACCCGCAGAAGAAGCACCGGCUAACUCCGUGCCAGCAGCCGCGGUAAUACGGAGGGUGCAAGCGUUAAUCGGAAUUACUGGGCGUAAAGCGCACGCAGGCGGUCUGUCAAGUCGGAUGUGAAAUCCCCGGGCUCAACCUGGGAACUGCAUUCGAAACUGGCAGGCUUGAGUCUUGUAGAGGGGGGUAGAAUUCCAGGUGUAGCGGUGAAAUGCGUAGAGAUCUGGAGGAAUACCGGUGGCGAAGGCGGCCCCCUGGACAAAGACUGACGCUCAGGUGCGAAAGCGUGGGGAGCAAACAGGAUUAGAUACCCUGGUAGUCCACGCCGUAAACGAUGUCUACUUGGAGGUUGUGCCCUUGAGGCGUGGCUUCCGGAGCUAACGCGUUAAGUAGACCGCCUGGGGAGUACGGCCGCAAGGUUAAAACUCAAAUGAAUUGACGGGGGCCCGCACAAGCGGUGGAGCAUGUGGUUUAAUUCGAUGCAACGCGAAGAACCUUACCUGGUCUUGACAUCCACAGAACUUUCCAGAGAUGGAUUGGUGCCUUCGGGAACUGUGAGACAGGUGCUGCAUGGCUGUCGUCAGCUCGUGUUGUGAAAUGUUGGGUUAAGUCCCGCAACGAGCGCAACCCUUAUCCUUUGUUGCCAGCGGUC
rnacentral:rRNA from 1 species